AUAAAUUCAUGAAGCCUUGAGAGAAUCAAAAAGAGGAGGGAAUAGGAUGAAGAUGGCAUGAUCCUCGUUAUUUUGCCAACAUUGUAUGAGAUCCUUAUUAGAAUCGACCAAAAAUAGUGACAUAGCUCAGUCCUGUAUGGCAAGAGGUGUGUUCAUGAAAUCCUUUAAGACCAUGUAAAGAAUUUCCUGGUAGCUUUUAGGAUGGAGCCGCAUAUCUUUAGAGCACUGGCAUCAUAUUUUAGAAGGGGAAAUUUGAUGAAGGACACGGUAGUAAAGGUGGAGGAGAAAUUAUGCUUUUUUCCUUUACAUGUUGUCUCACAACGUAUCUUUUGA
rnacentral:rRNA from 1 species